rnacentral:rRNA from 1 species
GACGAACGCUGGCGGCGUGCUUAACACAUGCAAGUCGAACGGAAAGGCCCUGCUUUUGUGGGUUUCUCGAUUGGCGAACGGGGGAGUAACACGUGAGUAACCUGCCCUUGACUUUGGGAUAACUUCAGGAAACUCGGGCUAAUACCGGAUAGGAUCUCCUGCUGCAUGUUGGGGGAUGGAAAAUGUCGGCUGUUGUGGAUGGACUUGCGGCUUAUCAGCUGGUUGGGGUGGUAGGGGAUUACCAGGGCUUUGACGGGUAGCCGGCCUGAGAGGGUGACCGGCCACAUUGGGACUGAGAUACGGCCCAGAAGCGUACGGGAGGCAGUAGUGGGGAACAUUGCACAAUGGGCCGACGUGUGAUGCAGAAACGUCGCGUGCGGGAUGACGGGUUUCGGGUUGUAAACAGCUUUGGACUGUGACGAAGCGUGAGUGACGGUAAUGGGUCAAGAAGCACCGGCUAACUACGUG